rnacentral:rRNA from 1 species
ACGAACGCUGGCGGUAUGCCUAACACAUGCAAGUCGAACGGAGAUAUUAGGAGAGCUUGCUUUCCUGAUAUCUUAGUGGCGGACGGGUGAGUAACACGUGGACAACCUGCCCUUAUCACCGGGACAACGUUUGGAAACGAACGCUAAUACCGGAUAAGCCCUGUAAGCGACAUCGCUAAGAGGGGAAAGGGGAAACCCGGAUUUGGAUGGGUCCGCGGCCCAUUAGCUAGUUGGUGAGGUAACGGCCCACCAAGGCGACGAUGGGUAGCCGGCCUGAGAGGGCGAUCGGCCACACUGGGACUGAGACACGGCCCAGACUCCUACGGGAGGCAGCAGUGGGGAAUAUUCCGCAAUGGGGGAAACCCUGACGGAGCAAUACCGCGUGAGUGAAGAAGGCCCUUGGGUCGUAAAGCUCUGUUUUCGAGGACGAAAAAAAUGACGGUACUCGAGUAGGAAGCCCCGGCUAACCACGU